ACCAACAUACAGCCUGGAAUGCACCUGAUCUUAAUUGAUUUCAGAAGCAAAGUGGGGUUAGACUUGGUUAGUGCAUCAAUGGGAACCCGUCAGAGAAUCCUGUAUCUCUAGGUA
rnacentral:rRNA from 1 species